GAUGAACGCUGGCGGCGUGCCUAAUACAUGCAAGUCGAGCGAACGGACGAGAAGCUUGCUUCUCUGAUGUUAGCGGCGGACGGGUGAGUGACACGUGGAUAACCUACCUAUAAGACUGGGAUAACUUCGGGAAACCGGAGCUAAUACCGGAUAAUAUUUUGAACCGCAUGGUUCAACAGUGAAAGACGGUCUUGCUGUCACUUAUAGAUGGAUCCGCGCUGCAUUAGCUAGUUGGUAAGGUAACGGCUUACCAAGGCAACGAUGCAUAGCCGACCUGAGAGGGUGAUCGGCCACACUGGAACUGAGACACGGUCCAGACUCCUACGGGAGGCAGCAGUAGGGAAUCUUCCGCAAUGGGCGAAAGCCUGACGGAGCAACGCCGCGUGAGUGAUGAAGGUCUUCGGAUCGUAAAACUCUGUUAUUAGGGAAGAACAUAUGUGUAAGUAACUGUGCACAUCUUGACGGUACCUAAUCAGAAAGCCACGGCUAACUACGUG
rnacentral:rRNA from 1 species